UACGAAGGGGGCUAGCGUUGUCCGGAAUUACUGGGCGUAAAGGGCGCGUAGGCGGUGUGUCAAGUCAGGCGUGAAAGCCCCGGGCUCAACCUGGGAACCGCGCUUGAGACUGGCACGCUAGAGUUCGGUAGAGGAUGGUGGAAUUCCCAGUGUAGAGGUGAAAUUCGUAGAUAUUAGGAAGAACACCGGUGGCGAAGGCGGCCCACUGGAGCGGUACUGACGCUGAGGUGCGAAAGCGUGGGGAGCAAACAGG
rnacentral:rRNA from 1 species